UACAGAGGGUGCGAGCGUUAAUCGGAAUUACUGGGCGUAAAGCGCGCGUAGGCGGCUUUGCAAGUCGGGUGUGAAAUCCCCAGGCUCAACCUGGGAACUGCAUCCGAGACUGCAUUGCUAGAGUAUGGGAGAGGGAAGCGGAAUUUCUGGUGUAGCAGUGAAAUGCGUAGAUAUCAGAAGGAACAUCAGUGGCGAAGGCGGCUUCCUGGACCAAUACUGACGAUCAGGUGCGAAAGCGUGGGGAGCAAACAGG
rnacentral:rRNA from 1 species